UCUGUUGCCAGCUUGACUAGAAAGGAGGCCACAAAGAGAGCCCAACACGAAAACCUCCAUUUUGUGUCAUUUCUGCGUGCACAGUGCUGGAGGACAAGUGUGCGUUACCGCGUAGUAAUUUUGUUCGUGUGUUUUUUAAUAGUUUGAUCCAAAUAUCAUAAAAUAUGUCACGUUAUCGGGAGUGGGAGAUUUCCUGCAAAGUCUACAUCGGCAAUUUGGGCAGUAGUGCAAGUAAACAUGAAAUUGAAAGUGCAUUCAGCAAAUAUGGUCCUCUUAGAAAUGUCUGGGUUGCUAGAAAUCCACCUGGAUUCGCAUUUGUGGAAUUUGAAGAUCCAAGAGACGCCGAAGAUGCUGUAAGAGGAUUAGAUGGAACACGUUGCUGUGGUACAAAAGUUAAAGUAGAGAUGUCCACUGGAAGAAGGCGACACAGUGGUGGUGGUCGCAGGCCAGGUCCACGAUACUCCAGGUCCAGAUCUCGCAGUCCUCGUAGGAAAUCUCUGGGUCGUUAUCCAAGGUCUUGGUCAAGAAGUCCGCGAAGAUCACCAAUAAACAGAUAUUCCAGGUCAAGGUCCCGCAGUCCACGUAGGAGAUCUUUGACCCGUAGUCGCAGCCGAGACCGCCGUUCUCGUUCGGAUUCUCGUGACAGACGAGUAUUAUAAAAAGGGAAGACUUCGUGAAUACAUAAAGCAAGAGGAGAAAGGAGGGACGAAAAAAAAAAGAAAUCUCGUUAGAUGCUAAAUAUGACCGAGAAAACUGGACCGACUUAAGGGCGGGUUGGACUACACGUGGCGACUAAGUCCCACACGAUCCGUACGUUUGCAUUUAUUUGUUUACGAUACGACGGCGUUAAUCCAUCGUAUCGUAAAUAAACAAAAGUAAACGUAGGGAUAUGAUAUGUGCGCGUGGACGCGUCGUACGCGCGCAUACGCAUACAUAUACAUACAGACAUACAUACAUACAUACAUACACAUACACAGAUACAACAAAUAAACACAGUGACAAGUAGUUAGGAAUAACUAACACGGAUACGCAGUGCUCGACACUACACAAAAAUAAACUCACACUAAUGUAAAUGACUGGGCGCAAAACACAACCCUUGAACGUGUGUUGGCUGAAUUUCUUUAAGUGUAUAAGUGAAAAAUGGGACAUAUGAAAAUCGCUGUUAAGGAUAAUUAUAAUAAGAAGUAAUUAAUAAUAAAAGAAUUUAAAAUAAAAAAAGGAAAAAAGAAAAAAGAGAGAAAAAAAAAGAAAAGAAAACUAAAAACGAAAAAAAAAAACAAACAAACAAAGACGAACGUUUUCAUUAUGCGUUUAAUCAACCGAACCGGGAAAAGAGGAAGAGAGAGAGAGAGAGAUAGAGAGAGAGAGAGAAAAGAUAAUACAUAGAUAGAUUUCAACGUGAGAAGAUAAUCGUAAAAUAAAUCGUACCGUCGUGUUAAAUACAAGGGUGAUGAUAAAAGGAAAAAAAAAAAA